AGUGAACAUUGGCAAGGCCAGGAUGCCACCACCCCCUGAGCCAGGUAACCUGAUCAUCAUGGAAAUCUGAAAGCCUUGUAGGGGAGGUGUGGUAGAAGUGCGGGGAGCACGUGUGUGUGCUGUGCUGUGGUGCAGUGGGCUCAGCCACUGCCUGCAACACCAGCAUCCCAAAGGAGUGCUGGGUUGAGUCCCAGCUGCUGCACUUCCAACCCAGCUGCCUGCUAAUGUACCUGGGAAGGCAGUAGAACAUGGCUCAAGUACGUGGCCAUUUUGGAAGGCACUGGUGAAGUGCCAGGCCCCUGUCUGGCCAGCUACCGUGCCAGUUGUGGUGGCCAUUUCAGGGUCAAAUCAGCAGAUGGAAGCUCUCUUUUGGUUUUCUCACUCCCCAACUCAACCUUUACACAUAAUACAUUUGUAACAGAAAGCAAAAGCACUUUGGGAGGUGAUGCUGAGGUCGCCCAGGUGCACAGCAGUUCACAUCCUUCCUGCCUUUUCCCUUCUAGGACCUGUACUGAGCACACCUGAUCCUACCAGAUGGACCGGCAAUGGAAGGCGGAGGAAGCAAACCUGCAAAGAAGAAGCCAUGGACACUACUCCUCCAUACACUCCACCUAGGGAGGAGGAGCCCAUGGACACCACACCCCCAUAUGAGCCACCAGAACCCAUGGACACCACACCCCCAUAUGAGCCACCAGAACCGAUGGACACCACGCCCCCAUAUGAGCCACCGGAACCAAUGGACACCACGCCCCCAUAAGAAACAUCUUGGGUGGAUCCACACCUCCCCAUGUUCCACCACGGGAAGAGCCCAGGGAUAUCACACUCCCAACAUUCCACCAUGGGAGGAGCCUAUUGACCCACACCCUCCUGUGCUCCCCCAUGGGAGGAGUCCCUGGACACCACAACCUCCUAAGUGCCACCAAAGGAGGAACCAAUGGACACCACAAUGCCAUAGGCUCCUCCUCCAGAGUAGCUCCUGGACACCACACCCUCCUACGCUCCACCAAGGGAGGAACCAAUGGAUACCACAAUCCCAUAGGCUCCUCCUCCAGAUAGCUCCUGGACACUACACCCUCCUACGCUCCACCAAGGGAGGAACCAAUGGAUACCACAAUCCCAUAGGCUCCUCUGCCAGAGGAGCCCAUGGACACAACACCAACCUAUACUCCCCCUCCAGAGGAGGCCAUGGACCCUUCACCCCCUAGUUUCCAGCAUAGUCCAUGGAAAUGUCAACCACGUCUCCUGCCCUCUGUUUUCCUCCUGCUGGUCCCAGGGGCAGUUUUAUGCCUGGCCUUCCCACCUUUCCUUGCAUCUUCAUACCCAGUUUCCCAGCACCUAUGGAUAUAGACCCUCCGGCAUGACCCUUCCUACCUCCCCUCCAGGACAUGGCACAACUCUGCCCCCGGCCAGCUCCUUUCAUGGCCUCCAGCUGGCUCCUCGCCACAGAAGAUUCUUAUUUAAUAUUAAACACCAUAAUCGUUCUGUUUUUUUUGUGUGUGUGUCUGUGCUCUGUAGAUCCAGUGUGAGAAAUGCUGGCUUGUGUGAGUGCUGACAGGAGGUCAGAUCCUAUGGGAAAAUGUUCCUGUGGCACAAGAAACAGGGGCUGGAGGGUUGGGGGCUAGGGAGUAGAAGGAGCCAAAGGCCAUAAUGACUUCCUCCUGAGCAGAAAAGCUGUGACUGAUGGGCCGGCACCUGUGCCAGCAUAGUGGGUGAAGCUGCGGCCUGCAGUGCUGGCAUCCCAUAUGGGUACUGGUUCAAAUCCUGGGAGCUCUACUUCUGAUCCACCUCUCUGCUAUGGCCUGGGAAAACAGAAGAUGGCCCAAGUCCUUGGGCCCCUCUACACACGUGGGACACCUGGAAGAAGCCUCUGGCUUCUGGCAUUGCAUCAGUAGAGCUCCAGCCUUAGGAGCCAAUUGGAGAGUGUACCAGUGGAUGGAAUAACUCUCUUUCCCUGCCUCUCCUUCUCUCUCUCUCUAACUCAGACUUUAAAUAAAUGAAAAAUAAAUGAAUAAAUCUCUAAAUAA
rnacentral:lncRNA from 1 species